rnacentral:ncRNA from 1 species
ACAAAGGCUCUUUUAAGAGCCACCCAACAACCUCAAGAGAGCAGAGU